rnacentral:rRNA from 2 species
GGGGAAUAUUGCGCAAUGGGGGAAACCCUGACGCAGCAAUACCGCGUGAGUGAAGAAGGUUUUCGGAUCGUAAAGCUCUGUUAUUGGGGAAGAAAAAAAGACGGUACCCAAGAAGAAAGUCCCGGCUAACUACGUGCCAGCAGCCGCGGUAAUACGUAGGUGGCAAGCGUUGUCCGGAAUUACUGGGUGUAAAGGAUGCGUAGGCGGAUAUGUAAGUCAGAUGUGAAACCCCCGGGCUUAACCCGGGGCAUGCAUUUGAGACUGCAUAUCUAGAGUGCAGGAGAGGAAAGCGGAAUUCCUAGUGUAGCGGUGAAAUGCGUAGAUAUUAGGAAGAACACCAGUGGCGAAGGCGGCUUUCUGGACUGUAACUGACGCUGAUGCAUGAAAGCGUGGGGAGCAAACA